UCUGCGUAACAGGGGAAAGAAUUAAAGACUGCUAGGAAUUGCCAAGAAAAGAUCUGCCUUCCCAUUCUAGCUAGAGACAGACGAGAUGCAGACUUGGGAAGGUUUAUGAUGCCCAUGAUGAUGGCUCCCCUGGAAGUUUGUAGAAGGCACUGUCUGGAAGACAGGAAAGGUGUUAUUGAGGGAAGAGUAUGGGAGCCGAAACUGGACAAAUGACUAAGUUUGUCGGGGGUGGGGGGCAGGAGGGUGGGAUUGAGGCAGAGGGAAGGGUGCAUGAGUCCGGCAUGGCGGAGAGCACGGCACAGGCUAGAGUUCAGCUGGGCUGGUGUGCAGGAAGAGGCUGAGGCCCAGGGAGAAAAGGGAGGGCCCGACAGCAUCACAUGCUCAGAACUUGAGAUUUUUGUCCUAUAGAGAAGGAGAAGCUUUAAAGAAUCGUGAGGCAGGAAGGCUUCCCACGUUUGUAUUUUGGAGAAUCAUUUGCAACCAUGCAGGAGAUGGAUUGGAAAAGAAUGAUCCUCUGAAAUGAACUGCCUGCCACUGACUGAUCUCAGGCCAUCAGUGACUCAGCCUCAGUCCUUCUGGUUUGGACACAAGGAUGGCCGGAGAGAUCCUCAGCCCUGAGCUGGUUAAUGGGACUGAAGGAGAUCUGGGUGGGCCCUACAGUCUUCAGCAUUCGGGAGAAAGUUCAGAGCAAGAGAAUGCGUGCAUCACCUACAGAGAAUACGGGAAAUGAAAAGAAAGGCAAUCUGGGGAAGAAGCCAAGGUAGAUAAUCCAAAGGAGACUGAGAGAGAGUAAGCAGACAUUACAUAUGAGAAAAAUAUGACACAGUUAAAGCACGAAUAGCUUAGACAUUUGAGGAGAACGCAUUUGUCAGACCAACCUUGAAUCAUCUCCGCAGUGGUGGUGGUAUGAGAAAGUGAAGGCUUCACGGGGGGUAAACUGAUUGAGCACUUCCUAUGAGGGAGAAAAUAUGUAAUAAAAACGGGGACAAGCACUUCGGUUUGUGUUGUUAUAACAGACAAUUAUCAGAGCAGCUCUUCCUCUCAUCCUUCAUCAUGGGGAAGAGCCAUCCUAGCAACGCCUGGGACUGAAGGUCAUGCUGCCUGGCUUUGUGGGGACAGAUGGCCAUUGCUCAUCAUGUUAGCAAGAAGCUUGAUGCUCACUUCUGGACAUCAGCUGCUCACUAUGUAUAUUAAGUGAUAAUUUAGCUUCAGGUGGCACCAGCCCUGGUGCUGUCUGAUCUCCUGCUACCUUAAUGGAAAAUAUUUGGACAGCAGUACCUUACUUUCCUGCCCUCCAUUAUGAAAUAGUGACAGACUCUGCAAAAUAUCGCAUCAUGAUAAUAAUAAAUAC